rnacentral:lncRNA from 1 species
CUGGGAAAGAUUCACCAUCAGCUAACAUUUGUUGCCAGUCUCCCUCUCUCUUUUUUUCCAUUCCUGAAAGCCCUGAUACAAAGUUGUAUGUUCUAGUUGCAAGUCCUUCUGGUUCUCCUAUGUCAGCUGCCACCAUAGCAUGGCCACUGACAGAUGAGUAGUGUGGUUUGACCCCCAGGCACUGAACCCGGGCUGCUGAAGCAGAGCGUGCUGAAAUUUAACCACUAGGCCAUCAGGGCUGGCUCUCUGCCCAUCUUUUAAGUGAGUAGUUUGGUGUUCUGCUGUUGAGUUGUAAGAGUGCUGGAUCCUACACUUUUAUCAGAUCUGUGAAUUGCAAAUAUUUUCUCCCAUUAAGUAGGUUGGCUUUUUACUUUCUCAGUAGUGUCAAUCGAAGAACAAAAUUUUGUCAUUUUGAUGAAGUCCAACUUAUUCAAUUUUCCUCCAUCCAAAUGCUGGACAGUCAGGUCGUGGGGUGGGGUGGGGUGAAGCCUGAGUGCAGGUGGUCCCAUAUCCGUGAUGCAGGAGGGCCUGGAGGACCAAUGUCCAGAUCCCACUUGGAGUGGAAGGACACAGGAUUGCCAUGCAGCAGGUGGAUCUGUUCUUGUCCCAAGUUCCUGCAGGAAGAUCAAGGCCCAUGACAGAAGUUGUUCUGGUGGCCAUCGGGGAAGCAGCUGUGAAGAUCCUGCUCCUCCUCCUCUGCCUCAUCUUCCUCAUAAUGAGGUCCUACAGGAGGAAAGUGAUGAGGCCUGCAGGGGGCAUGGAGGAUGCAAACACCACCCCGGAUUAAUCCCUCAGCUCAUGUUGCUGCCUGUCGUCUCCUCAUCCUGACGCUGGUCGUUCCUGGGGGCUCAUCUCUUCCCUGGGUCUCUGAACUCACCUCACCUCCUGCUUCCAUCUCUCUCCUCAACUCGGGCCUCCAGAUUGUUUCCAGAGACCAUCAUCCAUGUCCUGCACAGUAUGAACAGCUACGUGUCCUCUCCAUGGCCAGAGACUGAGCUGAAAACACCACAGGCUGAAUUUGAAGGCCUGGCCUGAUCCGUCUCCGCCGGACUCUCCCCCAGAUUCCUCCCUCUCUCUGCAUCUGUCAAUGUCUCCUCUCCCAGCUGGGCCAUGGCCUCUGUGACUCUGAGACUUUGUAUGUGUAGUUCCUUCUCCUGAAAUGCCCUUCCUUCCUCAUUCCUACCUCUCCAAGUCAUGCUCAUCCCUCAGGCUCAUUCUUAAAUGCCACCCAGUGUGUGUGCGUGCAUGUGUUUGUCAUUGUAUAGUUCUAAGCAGAGUAACAUUCAGUCAUUUAUGCAUAGACCCAUUUAACAAUUGUCAUUGCAUACAUAUGACAUACCAGCAUUGUGCAUCAGUGACACAACUUCAAAACUCACUGUCAUGCAAAGGAUUUGAAGAUACACUUCUGCGAAGAAGACACACAAAUGACCAAGGAGCACAUGAAAAGAUGAUCAGCAUCAUCAGUCGUUAGAGAAAUGCAAGUCAAAACUACAAUGAAAUACGACUUUACACCCAUUAGGACAGCUUUAUAUAUUUUUUUAAAAAAACACAUAGUAACAAGUAUUGGCAAAGGUGUGAACGAAUUAGAACCCAUGGGCAUUGCCUGUGAGAAUGAGAAGUGGUGCAGCCUAGUGGAAAACCCUUUGGAAUCUCUUUCAAAAGUUAAACAUAGAAUCACCCUAUGACCCAGCGCUGCCACUUCUAGAUAUGUACUCAAAGGACUUGAACGUAUGCAUUUAAUGGAUGCUUGUACACCAGUGUUCAUAGCAGAAUUAUUCACAGUAGCUGUGGAACCAAUGCUGGUGCCCAUCAACAGAAUAAUGGAUGAACCAAAUAUGGCACAUGCAUACAAUGGAAUAUCAUUCAGCCUUGAAGAGGAAUAAGUGAAAUUCUGGCACAUGCUACCUCAUGGAUGAACCUUGAAAACAAUAUGAUAAAUGGAAGGAGACAGACACAAAAGGGCAAAUAUUGCGUGAUUCUGCUUCUAUGAGCUGCCUAUGAAGACAAAUUCAUAGAAACAGAAAGAAUAAUGGUGGCUGCUCGCAACCAAGGGGCGGGGGAUGGGGAGUCAUUGUGUAACUGUGCAGAGUUACUGUUUGGGAUGACGGAAAUGUUCAGGAAAUACACAGAGGUGAUGGUUGCACAACAUUGUGAGUGCAUCUGAUGUCACUGAAUUGUGCCCUGUAAAACUUUUUAAAUGGCCAUUUUUCUUUUACAGAUAUUUUACCACAGUAAACAAAAGGAACAGGAAGUGUUUCUGUAAUCCGGAUUCUGUCAGUC